GGAUUUGAGGGCAAUCUGGCUGCAACAUCUGCCACCUCAUUGAUUGAUUCAUUUGGUUGAUCUUGCUAUCUAAGCAGGUGUCCUCUGCUUCCUUCACCAUUCCAUGUGCAUCCCUCCCAAAACUACAUGCUUCGUCAAAGAGGACAACCACUCCCACUAGAAGAGGACCAUUCUUUGGUCAAGGGUAUGUGAGUAGUUGUGCUUUCUUACUAGAACCUCCAAUAAGCUCUCAAGAAUAUAGAGGAAUUAGUGGAAAAAUGGAAAUCAUUAAGAUAAAUUCACUGUUAAAU
rnacentral:snRNA from 1 species